GAUGAACGCUGGCGGCGUGCCUAAUACAUGCAAGUCGAGCGAACAGACGAGGAGCUUGCUCCUCUGACGUUAGCGGCGGACGGGUGAGUAACACGUGGAUAACCUACCUAUAAGACUGGGAUAACUUCGGGAAACCGGAGCUAAUACCGGAUAAUAUAUUGAACCGCAUGGUUCAAUAGUGAAAGACGGUUUUGCUGUCACUUAUAGAUGGAUCCGCGCCGCAUUAGCUAGUUGGUAAGGUAACGGCUUACCAAGGCAACGAUGCGUAGCCGACCUGAGAGGGUGAUCGGCCACACUGGAACUGAGACACGGUCCAGACUCCUACGGGAGGCAGCAGUAGGGAAUCUUCCGCAAUGGGCGAAAGCCUGACGGAGCAACGCCGCGUGAGUGAUGAAGGUCUUCGGAUCGUAAAACUCUGUUAUUAGGGAAGAACAAAUGUGUAAGUAACUAUGCACGUCUUGACGGUACCUGGUCAGAAAGCCACGGCUAACUACGUG
rnacentral:rRNA from 1 species